UUUAGAAACUCACAUUUGAGUGUUCACAUUUUCGUUAACAUGAAAAAGUCUGGAUGGGUACACUGCAAACAUCUUCCCUCCAGAGGAAGCGAGCUCAUGAGGUCAUGAGAGGACAGAGUUUUUCUUGUGUUCAAACCUGCAUCUCAGCCCUCACUCCAGCCGCUGACCGAGCCACCCGAGGACGACAUCACCCCCUCAAAACCAGCAUGGGAACAAUCUGACGCUCCAACUUUCCGGCGGUCUCCUGCAGCCCUGGCCCCUGCAUCCGCCCACCCGUUUCCUGCUUCCACCACUGUA